ensembl:lncRNA
CCUCUUACAGUAUGAGAACAACAUACAUGUCCCCUCACUGACUUACACUUGGACUGGUGAGACAGACAGAACUGGUGAGGCAGACAGGACAAAAUUAGUUGGUUCUGUAGGUGCAUUUAUUUUAAGGCAAUGUGCAAUCAGAUUGGGCUGUAAACAACAUAAAAGUUAAAUACAAAUCAAAUAAACAACAGACAUCAAACAGUAGAAUAUAUAGUAUAAAUAUGUCAUAUGAACAAUAUUACAAAGUGCAGUUUCAACCCAAAGAUAAAGAAUGGAAGGUUUAAGCACAAAAGGCUGAAUUCAAUGGACUUCCAGAGAGCAGACUGCAUUAGUAAACAGUCCCUCGAGUUCUAGAGGUUCUAGAGGUUCUAGAAGAUGACUGUUUGUGACAUUGUCUUUGAGUCUGCUUGCAAAUAACGCUAAAUAUAAACACUGUUUCUAACCCUCUCCAGAAGGGUGUUUAAGACAUAUUCAAAACAAAAGACGUCAGUCAGACAAUAAGAUAACAUUUAAAUAAUAUCAUAUUCUCUCUUUUGCUCUCGAACAGCCCUCUGUCUAUUUGUAGAUAAAGUGCAGGAUCACCGAGCGGAAGGCUGUCCGAUGACGCAGGAUAGCCACCAGCUGCCUGCAGGUUAGGCAUAAGACACUCAGCAGGAUGGACACACCAGGAACUAAGGGUCCAACAUGUGUGUCUGUGUGUGUGCACGUGGUUGGAUAUGGAUAUGUAUCUAUACACAUGAGUGUGUGUGUGUGUGUGUGUGUGUGUGUGUGCACAUGGUUGGAUAUGGAUAUGUAUCUAUGCACAUGAGUGUGUGUGUGUGUGCGUGUGUGUGCCGCACAUAUGUAUGUAUGUAUAUAUGUGUGCGUGAGUGUGUGCGAGACUCAUGUCUUAUGUCUGCUUUGAUGCCGGUGCUUUCUAUUCCUCAUCCUCUUGUGUUUGUGUCGUUUCAUCUCCUUCUCCCUCUCCUUCUCUUGUUCCGUUGCUUGUUCUUUUGGAGGCACGGGGAGCUUCUCUCUAUCCCUCUCUCUUUCCAUCUCUCUCUCUUUUGGGGGUGGCGGGGGCGGGGGCUCCUCUCUCUCCCUCUCCUGUGGAGGAGGGGGUGCUGGCGGGGGGAGCGGGGUCAGGGGGGGGGUCCAAAAGCCCCCCACAGGCCCCGGCCAGGGCUGGAGAGGGGUGGAGUUGAAGAAACCAGGGAAGGGGUGAGGGGCAACUUGGUGGGGC